AACGAGGCCGACCUGCGGCUGAGUUACCUGCGGAAGGAUCAUUACAAGUGACCCCGGUCUAACCACCGGGAUGUUCAUAACCCUUUGUUGUCCGACUCUGUUGCCUCCGGGGCGACCCUGCCUUCGGGCGGGGGCUCCGGGUGGACACUUCAAACUCUUGCGUAACUUUGCAGUCUGAGUAAACUUAAUUAAUAAAUUAAAACUUUCAACAACGGAUCU
rnacentral:misc_RNA from 1 species